rnacentral:lncRNA from 1 species
AGAUCAGGCAGCAGAGAUAGUAAGACCUGGCUGGGCCAGGCAGGCAGAGUGGUAAGACCUGGCCGGGCCAGGCAGAUUGAGGUUGUAAGACCUGGCUAGGCCAUGCAUCCUUUGAGUGGGAUUGUUGGUGGUCAUGUCUGAUCCCUGAGAUGAUGUGCUGUAGUGCAUUCCAUGAGAUCAUGUUUUCAACUUAUGGUUUAUAUAGUUCUGCUC